rnacentral:sRNA from 1 species
GCUCUAUGGUCGGGUUGUUGUCUUUUUGACACAUUCCCCGUUUCCAUUCUCAAUAUUAUUAAUAAACAGAUAUCUGAUUUUAAUUAUACACAUUUUUAUAUCAUAUAAAAUAAAAUUGAGAAUGGAAAUGGGGAAUAUGCCAAAGAGACAACAACCCGACCAUAGAAA